rnacentral:rRNA from 1 species
AAGAAUAUCAAACUCCGAAUGCCGCGUAAUCGAUUAUCGGGAGUCAGACUGCACGAGAUAAGUUGGGCGGUCAAAAGGGAAAGAGCCCAGACCUUCAGUUAAGGUCCCCAAGUGCGCGUUAAGUGGAAAAGGAUGUGGGAUUUCGAAGACAACCAGGAUGUUGGCUCAGAAGCAGCCAUCCAUUCAAAGAGUGCGUAAUAGCUCACUGGUCGAGAGGUCCUGCGCCGAAAAUGUCCGGGGCUGAAACGCGCCACCGAAACUAAGGAACCGAAAGGUUGGUAGAGGAGCAUUGCAUGCGGAACGAAGCAGUACCGUAAGGAGCUGUGGACUGCAUGGAAGAGAGAAUGCCGGAAUGAGUAGCGAGAAUAAGGUGAGAAUCCUUAUGGCCGAAUAUCCAAGGUUUCCAGAGUAAAGCUGAUCUGCUCUGGGUAAGUCGGGGCCUAAGGCGAGGACGAGAGUCGUAGCCGAUGGACAACAGGUGGAGAUUCCUGUACUGCGGUAUGACAGAACUGUGGGGACACGUAAGGAAAGCGGAAGCCGGGAAUGGAAAGCCCGGUGCAAGCGGGGUACCAGUCACUUUGGCAAAUCCGGGUGGCAAUGGGAAGCCGUGAUGCGGAGCGAAAUAAAGUAGUGAAGUCCGUGAGCCAUGCGUCAAGAAAAGCCGCUAUCGUUUGUACCGUACCCGUACCGUAAACCGACACAGGUGGAUGAGGAGAGAAUCCUAAGGCCGGCGGAAGAAGCAUUGUCAAGGAACUCGGCAAAAUGGCCCCGUAACUUAGGGAUAAGGGGUGCCUGGGAAACCAGGCCGCAGAGAAUAGGCUCAAGCAACUGUUUAGCAAAAACACAGGUCUAUGCGAAACCGAAAGGUGAGGUAUAUGGGCUGACGCCUGCCCGGUGCUGGAAGGUUAAGAGGAGAGGUUAGCGGUAACGCGAAGCUUUGAAUUUAAGCCCCAGUAAACGGCGGCCGUAACUAUAACGGUCCUAAGGUAGCGAAAUUCCUUGUCGGGUAAGUUCCGACCCGCACGAAAGGCGUAAUGAUUUGAGCGCUGUCUCGACAAUGCAUCCGGUGAAAUUGAAGUACCAGUGAAGAUGCUGGUUACCUGCGCCAGGACGGAAAGACCCCAUGGAGCUUUACUCCAGUCUGGUACUGGGACUCGGUAUUGCAUGUACAGGAUAGGUGGGAGGCUAGGAGAUGGUAACGCCAGUUGCCAUGGAGCCGCUGUUGGGAUACCACCCUUGCAGUAUUGGGUUUCUAACCAGCCGCCGUGACCCGGCGGUGGGACAAUGCCAGACGGGGAGUUUGACUGGGGCGGUCGCCUCCGAAAGGGUAUCGGAGGCGCCCAAAGGUUCCCUCAGAAUGGACGGAAACCAUUCGAAGAGUGCAAAGGCAGAAGGGAGCUUGACUGCGACACCGACGGGUGGAGCAGGUACGAAAGUAGGGCUUAGUGAUCCGGUGGUAUUAAGUGGGAAUGCCAUCGCUCAACGGAUAAAAGCUACCCUGGGGAUAACAG